CUGGAGGUAUCAGAAGUGCGAAUGCUGACAUAAGUAACGAUAAAGCGGGUGAAAAGCCCGCUCGCCGGAAGACCAAGGGUUCCUGUCCAACGUUAAUCGGGGCAGGGUGAGUCGACCCCUAAGGCGAGGCCGAAAGGCGUAGUCGAUGGGAAACGGGUUAAUAUUCCCGUACUUGGUGUUACUGCGAAGGGGGGACGGAGAAGGCUAUGUUGGCCGGGCGACGGUUGUCCCGGUUUAAGCGUGUAGGUGUGUGUUCCAGGUAAAUCCGGUUCACUUUAACACUGAGGCGUGAUGACGAGGCACUACGGUGCUGAAGCAACAAAUGCCCUGCUUCCA
rnacentral:rRNA from 1 species